CAUGUAGGCGGUUAGGUAAGUCUGAUGUGGAAUCCCGGGGCUCAACCCCGGACGUGCAUUGGAUACUGCUAGACUAGAGUACAGGAGGGGUGAGCGGAAUUCCAGGUGUAGAGGUGAAAUUCGUAGAUAUCUGGAGGAACAACGGAGGCGAAGGCGGCUCACUGGACUGUAACUGACGCUGAGAUGCGAAAGUGUGGGGAGCGAACG
rnacentral:rRNA from 1 species